UGAUUUGUUUCUGCUAGACGUGUGUUGUUUAUAUAUUUUUUCCCAAGAAAUACAUUUGAAAGAUCUAUCCUUUAUUUGCAUCUAUUUCAAUUGUAAGUUGUUGCUAUUAGUUUAACUUUGUGUCAGCGAAAAAAACUUAGAUAUAGUGUGCAGUUUUUCAGCAUUCAAUGAAACUGUAAAUAUUAUUUUUUGUUAUAACAAGAUCAAAAAUUGCUCGAAAUAAGAAUGUCAACAUACAAAGGCAUUACAUAGAUUUCAAAAGACUAAGGACAUCGACUGGAUGAUAGAGUAAUGGGAUGGCGUACUAGAUAUGUCACAAUUCACCCGAACAACUUCAAACUAAAAGAGCUUAAUAUAAAAAAAUGAUGCCUUUUAUAUCAUUCAAAAAACUUAGUACCUACUCAACCUGAAAAAAUGAAAUGCCCUUAAAAUAAUUGAUCCUUAAUCAGUUUCUGAGAAAGGUCAGGAAAGUAUAUUAUUUUCUUCGUUCUCAAACACAUUCCUAUAUAAACAAACUUAUUUCUGUGAACCAUCUAUAGCUUUAACAAAAUAAUCUUUGCAUGUUUCCUUUAUUCACAAGAACAAUAUAUAUGAUUCUCUAGACUAGACAGUAAUAUUAUCUCUCUGUCUUAUAUGUGUUGUACGUAUUUAUAGCAUUUCGACAUCACAUCUUCUUUUGUGACACAACAAAUAUUUUGAAAUUUCACUUUUUCCUAUUUGAAUGGGACCUUAUCCACUUUACUAGAGUUGUACGUUGUCGUUUCAAGUAGAAAAAUCAAAAUAAAUUAAUACACCUCCAAGGAAUGAAGAAUGUUCACCAAAUAUGAGCAGCCCCCAUUGUGAAAGACGAAGAACCAGAGCAUUUUCCUCGACAACUUAGUUGAAUAUUCCUCAGAAAUCUUAUUACACUUCUUUGUUGCUGUCAAAUUUGUUAGUUUAAGGAGAUACUACUGCUUCAUGCCUCUGUAAUUUCUAAAAAGGAGAAAGUCAUCUAUCGUUUUAAGUACCUUCUUAGGCUUUUUAUAUUUAAGGGUCUAAGAGGCAAUACAUUGAGCAGAUCAAACUGUUAAGCUUCCCACUAGACGUAAAUAAUCGAAUCAACACCAACCAAUAUAUGAGUUAUAUGAGUGUUUUCUCUGAACAGUAAUCCCCAGAUCAGAAUUGAAAGGACAUACCAGCCUUCGAAGGAUUAUUAGACAUUCCUUCAUGUCAGGAGGAGGAUAAGGAAAAUAUUAUUUAAUAGUCAACUUCUUAAUGUUCAUUUUACAUGGUCUUUCUACAAGUAUAUACUUGACGCUAAAUUGACAUAUCAUGGUAUCCAUAUUAUGAAUUUGCCGCUUGAGGUGCAGUUUUUUUGUGUGUAUGUGUGUGAUUAUGGGCAUUGUGAUUAAACAUUUGUUCUGCUCAUAUUUCUUUUUAUGUAUGAGAGGAUAUAAAUGUUAUUUAGACCUACAUCCAGUGUUAAUGCUAAUGAAGAAUAGUUGAUACAUUUUGAACGCAAUGAGGUAUCAGUUCUUCAGCGACAAUUCAAAUUUUAGUAUUUUUGUUACUGAGGUUAUAAUUGCAAUUUGUUUUAUGAAAGUAAUUGAUUAUGGACUAAUCCUGAAGCAAAUAAGCAACAGAAUGUCACUUGGUUGCUGAGAAUUAGGUGAUAACUGUUAGCCACUCUCUGUUAAAUGUAUUUUUUAAAGGAUUCAGCGAGGAUCUAAUCUUUAUUUUUCUCGACAAGGAACUUAAGUUGGUAAUUAGCAAUUGUCCAGAUAUCGAUCAGAUUUUUCAUUAUAAUCUUAUUUGUUAAUUCAUGUGGUAAUCCUAUCUUUGAUAGUUUUCCGUCAAUAUAAAGAAAGAGAUGUUUCUUGUGUUCAAUCUUUUCCUUGCUUUGUAGUUGAUGACUUGAGGCAAAUACAAAAUCUUCUGCAUAUAGUGCAAUAUCAUCUAUUAUUAAUUUGUUCGAAAAAAUUGUUUCAGAUUUAAGCAAGAAAAAUAAAGUUUGUCUUCUCCAUUUUAUCUCCAAGACCUCGAAGGUGUCGUUUGAAAGGGUUUAUUCACUGCAAGAAAUUUCAAGCUCCAAGAAACUUUAGACCCACAAUAAUUACACCACUCCUGAUCAAUUACCUACAACACAAAUGUGAUAAUUAUUUUAUCAUCUGGAAUUAGACUAUGAUUGAACUCUUGAUGUUGAAGAUUUCUACCAAUGAAAGAUAUGUUCUGAGAUGGUAGACGAGGAAACAAAAAGAAAAUAAGUACUUUAUGAACAUGAUCUGUACACUAGACAUAGUCCUAUAAUCAUUUAUCUUAGUUGAAACAUAUGUAUUAUGUAUUUAUAUCAAGCAUGUUCUAACAGAGGAUGGUUGCGGUUAAGACUUGAGAGAUUGAAUUGAUAAUAUGGAGUCUCAAGAGUCUUUUUGAGAAUUAAGAGCUAACUAAUAGCAUUUU